GAAUUAUAUUUCUGAGCUUCUAACUCGGGUAAAAGUAUUUAAAUUAUACUUAUAAUUCU
rnacentral:tRNA from 1 species